UGCCGGGUCGUCUAAUGGUAAGACGCAUGACUCUGGAUUAUGUUAUGAGGGUUCGACUCCUUCUCCGGCAACCA
rnacentral:tRNA from 1 species